rnacentral:rRNA from 1 species
UCCAGACUCCUACGGGAGGCAGCAGUGGGGGAUAUUGCACAAUGGGGGAAACCCUGAUGCAGCGACGCCGCGUGUGGGAAGACGGUCCUCUGGAUUGUAAACCACUGUCCCCAGGGACGAAAAUGACGGUACCUGGGGAGGAAGCUCCGGCUAACUACGUGCCAGCAGCCGCGGUAAUACGUAGGGGGCAAGCGUUAUCCGGAUUUACUGGGUGUAAAGGGAGCGUAGACGGUUAUGUAAGUCUGGAGUGAAAGCCCGGGGCCCAACCCCGGGACUGCUUUGGAAACUGUGUAACUGGAGUACAGGAGGGGCAGGCGGAAUUCCUGGUGUAGCGGUGAAAUGCGUAGAUAUCAGGAGGAACACCGGCGGCGAAGGCGGCCUGCUGGACUGAAACUGACGUUGAGGCUCGAAAGCGUGGGGAACAAACAGGAUUAGAUACCCGGGUAAUG